UUUCCGUAGGUGAACCUGCGGAAGGAUCAUUAUUGUAUAACCGAGGUGCGAGGGCUGUCGCUGGCGCGAAAGGUCGUGCACGCCCGAGUGCCCUCACACACAUCCAUCUCACCCCUAUGUGCACCACCGCGUGGGUCCCCCUUUGGCUUGUUCGGAGGGGGGCUUACGUUUUCACACAAACUUUGUAUGCAGUGUAGAAUGUAUUUUUUGUUUUUGCGAUCACGCAAUCAAUACAACUUUCAACAACGGAUCUCUUGGCUCUC
rnacentral:misc_RNA from 1 species